rnacentral:rRNA from 1 species
GGACCCGCACAAGCAGUGGAGCAUGUGGUUUAAUUCGAAGAUACGCGCAGAACCUUACCAACGCUUGACAUGUUCGUCGCGACUUUAAGAGAUUAAAGUCUUCGGUUCGGCCGGACGAAACACAGGUGCUGCAUGGCUGUCGUCAGCUCGUGUCGUGAGAUGUUGGGUUAAGUCCCGCAACGAGCGCAACCCCCUACUUUUAGUUGCCACCAUUUAGUUGGGCACUUUAAAAGAACUGCCAGUGAUAAGCUGGAGGAAGGUGGGGAUGACGUCAAGUCCUCAUGGCCCUUAUGUGUUGGGCUACACACGUGCUACAAUGGUACUUACAAUGGGAUGCAAUACCGCGAGGUUGAGCCAAUCCACAAAACCGGGCCCAGUUCGGAUUGUACUCUGCAACUCGAGUACAUGAAGGUGGAAUCGCUAGUAAUCGC